rnacentral:hammerhead_ribozyme from 1 species
AGCCGAAACGGGCGCAAGCCCGUCCGCAGGGAGUGACCGCCCUGCGCUGAUGAUGGCAGGUCACG